rnacentral:rRNA from 1 species
GUAGUUUGAUCGUGGCUCAGAUUGAACGCUGGCGGCAUGCCUUACACAUGCAAGUCGAACGGCAGCAUGAUCUAGCUUGCUAGAUUGAUGGCGAGUGGCGAACGGGUGAGUAAGUACAUCGGAACGUGCCCUGUAGUGGGGGAUAACUAGUCGAAAGAUUAGCUAAUACCGCAUACGACCUGAGGGUGAAAGUGGGGGACCGCAAGGCCUCAUGCUAUAGGAGCGGCCGAUGUCUGAUUAGCUAGUUGGUGGGGUAAAGGCCCACCAAGGCGACGAUCAGUAGCUGGUCUGAGAGGACGAUCAGCCACACUGGGACUGAGACACGGCCCAGACUCCGUACGGGAGGCAGCAGUGGGGAAUUUUGGACAAUGGGCGAAAGCCUGAUCCAGCAAUGCCGCGUGUGUGAAG